CACAUCUUCAACAAGAAGACAUGAAGGAGAAUUAGAAGUAAGUUAAUCCUGCUCUUCAGAAAACAUGAAGAAAGCUACAUCCGUCAAAGCAGACGAUGACGGAGGGAGUUGCCCUGACAAAAAUCAACAGCAAUGGGCACUACAGUACAUUUGUACUCACACCGUCAACAAAAAGACAUAAAGGAGAGGAAACCCAUCACGUAUUCAAGUAUUUUCUGUUAAUCCUGCUCUUCAGAAAACAUGAAGAAAGCUACAUCCGUCAAAGAGCUGAGUGCUGUGCUCGUGGGAUCAAACUUCUCCCAGAAAUAUCUUGUUGGAAACAUCAUCCUUGGAAGACAGGCGUUUGAUCUGGUAGAUGUAAAAU